AUUGAACGCUGGCGGAAUGCUUUACACAUGCAAGUCGAACGGCAGCACGGACUUCGGUCUGGUGGCGAGUGGCGAACGGGUGAGUAAUACAUCGGAACGUGCCCAAUCGUGGGGGAUAACGUAGCGAAAGCUACGCUAAUACCGCAUACGAUCUAAGGAUGAAAGCGGGGGAUCGCAAGACCUCGCGCGAUUGGAGCGGCCGAUGGCAGAUUAGGUAGUUGGUAGGGUAAAGGCCUACCAAGCCGACGAUCUGUAGCUGGUCUGAGAGGAUGAUCAGCCACGCGGGGACGGAGACACGGCCAAGACUCCUACGGGAGGCAGCAGUGGGGAAUUUUGGACAAUGGACGCAAGUCUGAUCCAGCCAUUCCGCGUGCAGGAUGAAGGCCCUCGGGUUGUAAACUGCUUUUGUACAGAACGAAAAGGCUCUGGUUAAUACCUAGGGCUCAUGACGGUACUGUAAGAAUAAGCACCGGCUAACUACGUGCCAGCCGCCGCCGUAA
rnacentral:rRNA from 1 species